AUUGCAAGUGAUGUUAAAGACAGGGACAUCGGACUUCUUUGAAAUAUGAUGAUUUGUCUUGGGAAUCUCUCUGAUGCAUG
rnacentral:snoRNA from 1 species